rnacentral:rRNA from 1 species
AGGGUGUAAACGCUGCAGACUUGGUGUUGGAGGCCCUUUGGGGGCAUUCAGUGCCGGAGAGAAGUUGUUAAGUCUGCUACUUGGGGAGUACGUCCGCAAGGAUGAAACUUAAAGGAAUUGGCGGGGGAGCACCGCAACGGGAGGAGCGUGCGGUUUAAUUGGAUUCAACACCGUAAAACUCACCAGGGAAGACUGUUACAUGAAGGCCGAGAUGAAGACUCUGCUAGAUGAUCUGAGAGGUGGUGCAUGGCGUCAGUGACU